AUGGGGGGAACCCUGACCGAGCAACGCCGCGUGAAUGAUGACGGCCUUCGGGUUGUAAAAUUCUGUGGCGAGGAACGAAUGGCAAGGAGAGGAAAUGCUCUUUGUUUGACGGUACCUCGCUAGAAAGCCACGGCUAACUACGUGCCAGCAGCCGCGGUAAUACGUAGGUGGCAAGCGUUAUCCGGAAUUAUUGGGCGUAAAGAGUGAGCAGGCGGUUUUUUAAGUCUGAAGUCAAAUCCUGUGGCUCAACCACAGUUCGCUUUGGAAACUGAAGAACUAGAGUGCGGGAGAGGUAAGCGGAAUUCCAUAUGUAGCGGUGAAAUGCACAGAUAUAUGGAGGAACACCGGUGGCGAAGGCGGCUUACCAGCCCGAUACUGACGCUCAGUCACGAAAGCGUGGGGAGCAAAUAGGCUUAGAUACCCUAGUAGUCCACGCCGUAAACGUUGAGGACCUGAUGCCGGAGUAUUUCGGUGUCGUAGCUAACGCGUUAAGUCCUCCGCCUGGGUACUACGUUCGCAAGAAUAAAACUUAAAGGAAUUGACGGGGGCCCGCACAAGCAGUGGAGCAUGUGGUUUAAUUCGUCGCUACGCGAAAAACCUUACCAGGGUUUGACAUCCCGCUAAAAGUCUUGGAAACAAGAUCAUAGUUAUAGCGGUGAAAGGUGGUGCAUGGUUGUCGUCAGCUCGUGUCGUGAGAUGUUGGGUUAAGUCCCCUAACGAGCGCAACCCUUGUCUCUAUUUGCCAUCAUUAAGUUGGGAACUAUAGAGAGACUGCCGGUGCAAACCGGAGGAAGAUGGGGAUGACGUCAAAUCAUCAUGCCCCUUAUGCCCUGGGCCACACACGUGCUACAAUGGCCGGUACAGAGAGAAGCAAUCCCGUGAGGAGGAGCAAAUCUCACAAAGCCGGUCUCAGUUCGGAUUGGAGUCUGCAACUCGACUCCAUGAAGCUGGAAUUGCUAGUAAUCGCAGAUCAGCAUUGCUGCGGUGAAUACGUUCCCGGGCCUUGUACACACUGCCCGUCACACCAUGAGAGUCGGCAAUACUCGAAGUCGUUAUCUUAACCCGCAAGGGAGGGAGGCGCCUAAGGUAGGGCUGAUGAUUGGGGUUAAGUCGUAACAAGGUAUCCCUACGGGAACGUGGGGAUG
rnacentral:rRNA from 1 species